GCGCAGGAAAUAUCUGCGGAAUGAAUCGGGAGCUUUAUGGAGCUAGGGCUGAAGGGCUGUAGGAAAGUUCACCAGCCCAGGAGGGGAAGGAAACAGGGAGGACCAGGAGCUGGCACCUCCUAGUGUGGGGCUGGCACCCUGGGGAGUGGGGCUGGCACCUCAGGGUGUGGGUACUGGUGUGGGAUGGAAUCCCUUGAUUGUUUAGGGUCUGACGUCAGCCCCGAUAGGAACCACAAGCAGUCCCCUGCUUAUGGGUGCCCCAAAUCACCUGUGCAGGAACCAGCAGUUCAGUGAAACCCCAGGAAAAGCUGAGGGAUCCCAGAUGGGCAACCCUGGCUCAACCCUGAGGAAGGAGGGAGAUGCUCUGACAGGAGAGCAGUAGAGGGCAGGGACGGCAGGAGGCUGGCCAGGAGGAAGGGAGGCUGGGGGAAAGAGUCUCCAGAGGAGCACCAAGCCAGAAAACCACAGAGGGGUGGAAAGCUCUGACAAACUGCCCUCAGCCCAGCCCUCAGGUCCCACGGCUGGGACUGCUGCUGCCCGGCUCCGGCAGGGAGGAUGCACAGCAUGGAGGAGAUGGCACCAUGGCAUCAGGGUGAUGGCACCACGGACAAACCCUUGGCUUUAGCCUGAGGGCACAGGAGACUGAGACUCCCAGAGAGUCACCCCUUGGUGGCUGAGGGAACAUGAACCAGUGACAGCAAGACCUGAAAACAGGUUUUCAGGAAGUAAAAUGUUUCUGGGAGUGAAGAGCAAAGGGCUUUGGUGAGACAAUUCAGUGUCACACCAGAUUUCCCCACUUCUUUCCAGUGUCCCCAGGCCAUUUAAGCAGUGGCCGUGUCCUGGGCCUGCCCUGUCCCCACAGCCCCACACCCAGGUGGGUGCUGUGGGAUGGGCAGGGCCCGGUGCCGCGCCAGCGCCCAGCUGGCACCCAGCCCUUGGCUGCACCACGGGCCUCAUUAGGUGCUUAAUUUUUAAGAUGCUCCCCAACUUUACGGGCUCUUUCCCGGCCGAGAGUGCAAACCUGCCUGUGGUCCCCGGUGGCGUCUGUGGGCCGUGCUGCCGGAGCGCGGCGUGCCGGGGCCUGCGCCGCCGUGGGUGGCAGGGCCGUGGCCCGGAGCCCACCCGUCCGUGCCAGGCGUGUUCCUGCAGCCCUUCCUGGGCCAUCCCCACCCGUCCGUGCCAGGCGUGUUCCUGCAGCCCUUCCUGGGCCAUCCCCACCCGUCCGUGCCAGGCGUGUUCCUGCAGCCCUUCCUGGGCCAUCCCCACCCGUCCGUGCCAGGCGUGUUCCUGCAGCCCUUCCUGGGCCAUCCCCAUGGCAGCCCAGAAAUCACCAGAAGCUGAAGCACAUUAAGGGCACUGUCCAAAUGCCUCUGACACCCUGACAGGCUUGGGACAAUGACCCUCUCCCUGGAAAGCCUGUUCCGGAGAUGUGGGGUGGGAGCUGCAGCGAUGGACAAACAGUCUCCAGCUGCCAGAGGAGCAAAUCCUGGAGCCUCACAACUUUUCCAUCCAGCCAUGAAACAAUCUGCUGAUUUUAUUGAAACCAGAUCGCCGGCUCCAUCUCGCAGCCGCUGCUGCAGCGGGUUCAGCACGUCCAGCAGCCCCCGGGAGCUGCCCGCGCCGCGAGGGGAGCGGCGAGGGGGACACAGGAGAGGCCGCCUGGCCACGUUCCCACCACAGCCUUGCCCACACUCACAACGUGGACACGUUUUUGGGAAGGUGGAUCAGGCACUGCCAGGAUCUGGAAGGGCUCCUUGGAGCCCUCACGGUUCCCAUGCAAUCCCAGCCCACGUCCCCUGUGGAAGCCCAGGUUCAUCCUAAAGGUUACAAGUGAAACUGUUCCACAAUGAGUUCAUGAGUAAAACCAUCCAAACCUGGGAGCCCUUAUCUUUGUGUGGUGGCACAGGGAAAUCGUGGCACUGGAGCAUCCCUGGACCAAGAGAAUGCAAGGACAAAACUGGAUUUCUUCUGAAAAUGCUGCAAAGCCUGGAGAUUCCAUACUGGUGGAAAUCAGUGAGCCAAGCAGAGACAGGAGAGGUUCACACAGAGGCUCAGUGAUGUCACCAGCUGGCAAGUGCUGCCACAUGCUUGGUGCUAGGGAAAUUCUGAACAAAGCCUCGAGGAGCUCAGGGAGGGCUCUGGAUAUCCAGGAGGCUCUGAUGGGGUCCCCAAGGGAGCUCAUGUGCCCCCAGGGAUGGAGGGAGGUGGGCAACAGGGUAAAACCCUCCAGCCGUGGCAGGCUGCCCUUUAACAUAGCAGGAGGAGCUACAGACUGGGGGAUUGCAGUGGGAUUGAGUCACUGCUGGGGCAUGGUGAGGGUCCCACACAGUUCCUGAGGGUCUCGGUGUGGAUGCCAUGGAGGGGCUGAUGGAAGGGCUUCGUUUGCAUCUGCAGUUCCUGGGCAGGGAAAGCGUCAGCUUUUCUGUUGCUAAGGAACUCCAGCAAGGUCCAACCUACCCAAAACUAUCAGCACUUGGAAAUCAGAGGCACCACCUCACCUGGCACUGUCCCU